rnacentral:rRNA from 1 species
AGAGAUGUGUGAUGACGCAUAUCAAUAAGCGGAGGAAAAGAAACUAACAAGGAUUCCCUUAGUAACGGCGAGUGAAGCGGGAAGAGCUCAAAUUUGAAAUCUUCAAGGUUCUACCUUGACGAAUUGUAGUUUAUAGAAGUGUUUUCUGUUAGUAGGAGUGGCAAAAGUUCUUUGGAAUAGGACAUCAUAGAGGGUGAGAAUCCCGUAUUUGGUCAUUCUUCUAGCGUUGUGAUACACUUUCAACGAGUCGGAUUGUUUGGGAAUGCAGUCCAAAAUGGGUGGUAAAUUUCAUCUAAAGCUAAAUAUUGGCGAGAGACCGAUAGCGAACAAGUACCGUGAGGGAAAGAUGAAAAGAACUUUGAAAAGAGAGGUUAAACAGUACGUGAAAUUGUCAAAAGGGAAGCGUUUGACACCAGUGUUGUUUUUCCGAAAAUCAAUUACGAAUGUUUUGUUUUUAAGGAGUUAUGACUUCAUCGGCUUGCUUCUUUCUUUACGAAACUUUCUUAAUGCACUUUUCGGUUAACAAGUCAACAUCAAUUUCUUUUGUUGUAAAAGGGUAUGAGGAAGGUGGCUUUCUUUUCGGAGAAAGUGUUUAUAGCCUUGUACCUCUGCAAUCGGAGAGAUUGAGGUCUGCAGCGUAGAUCCUUCGGGGUUAGAUACAUUUGUGCUAAGUUAUAGCUUUUCAUAGACAACUUGUUGACUAUGUUUAGUCUUGUAGCUUACUCGCUUAUGCUAUUUUACCUACGCUUAGGAUGUUGAAGAUGUAGCACAUCAU